CCCUUAGAUGUUCUGGGCCGCACGCGCGCUACACUGAUGCAUUCAACGAGUUUCUUCCUGGUCCGAGAGGAAUGGGUAACCUUUUGAAAGUGCAUCGUGAUAGGGAUAGACUAUUGCAAUUAUUGGUCUUCAACGAGGAAUUCCUAGUAGACGUAGUUCAUCAGACUGCAUCGAUUACGUCCCUGCCCUUUGUACACACCGCCCGUCGCUCCUACCGAUUGGAUGAUCCGGUGAGCUAUUCGGACCUGUGCAUUUUCCAUUGGAACUUGCGUGGGAAAGUCUCGCGAACCUUAUCAUCUAGAGGAAGGAGAAGUCGUAACA
rnacentral:rRNA from 1 species